GCUGUGGGAGAUGGGAGGUGUGAGCGGGAUGGUGAGCUGCCCGCAGUGCUGUGCUUAUAGGGACAGGGAGGGAUGGGGCCGGGGCAGGUGAAUCACGCAGGUGCUGUUCCCUGCAGUGGGAGGAUCGGGGUCGUCCUGCUGGCAGCAGGGAUGCAGUCCCUCUAAUUGUAUCACAGUGAAUUUUGUUUUCUUUUUGCUUUCUAUUGACGCACGAGCUAAAAUUAUACACUGGAAUACAUGUUUGGAAACCACCCAAUGUCUGAUUGGAACCCACAGGAGGAAGCAGCCCAGGUUAAUGGUUCUCACCACUAUUAUACCUUCCUGUCGUGGCUGUGACUAGAAUUGCAACACAAGGCAGCACGCUGCAUAACAAGCAUUGCUUUGUGGUGAGGCGUCCACCUGGCCCAGGCACACACACGCUGAGGAUCAGAACACAUCUUAGAUAAGAACUUACCUUACUUAUCUAACUUAGAUCAGAACUUAUCUUAGAUAAGUAAGAGUGUAGGAGGCUUCCACUGCUCAGGCCUUGAGGGGGAGAUUUAUGCACAGUGACCAAUUGUAUGUGGAAAAAGGGGAUUCUGAAUCCAGACCAUAUCACAGUUGUGCAGCCUUACCUCCCAGCUGUAACAGAAAGCCAAGAGAACUGAGGCUGCACUUAAACCACCAUGAAAAUUCUGCCUCUCAUAGGCAAUAUUCUUUGGGCUUAUAGAGAAGUGGGUUUAUGAAAAAAGAUGGGGCACUGGGUGAAUCUAGUAACGUCUGGUAAGUCAGAAAAUGACUUUAAGAGUUAUUUGUUCCCAUAGCCAUACUAUGGGACAACACAGUCACUACUUAUAGGUAUUUAAAGAUUGUGAAAACAUCAGUUGAGCACUGAGUUGCGUUACAGCUGCAUUAGGGUUGAGCUGGUGCCAGGUUGGUUCUUAGAAACAACUUCUCCUGCAAAGAGCAGCCAGGAGAAACUAUUCCUCCAAGUGGAUCCCCAAAGCACACAGAAGACAAAAAUACAUGGGAGUGCCAAUUCUUGUUUUUAAGUUUUGAUCACUAAGAACUGAAACCAUGGAAAUAAGGCUUCACUGCUGUUGUUGAAAACAUGCCCAGCCAUCUCAGCCCCUUCAGUCAGUUCCCAGGCUUCAUCCCUUUCUUUCAGAUGUGCCCCUUUAAGGUCUUAUAGCAGAAAUGCUGAGUCACAGCCUGAAGCAGUGAUGGAGCACCUGGUGGGAAGGCAGGGCCAGACCAGGGAAGCUCAGGUGCAUGCAAUGUACCUGCGUGAUGGAAGGGCUGGAGCCAGGAUCCACCCCUUCCCAGACCUCAUUUAAGGGCUGACAGUGGAGGCAAAGGCAUCUCACUGGAGAUUUCUGCCUACUGGAGGCUUUCUAAAGGUUGCUGUUCUGCUGUUACAUGUGAGGCCCUGUGGAUAGAAGAGUUACAACAUUCUAGAAGAACUCUGGCUCUGCCUUUCCUCUGUGCAAUGUCCUGCUGGGUUCCUGCAGUCCUGGGGUUGACAAGUAUGGCUUCAGGGAAUUGCUGUGGGGCUCCCAGAGCAGCUGGAGCAUGCAGAGGGAAAACUGCUUGGAUAAAAUGGGGUUUUUAUUCAUUGUAAGUAUUGGAGAUUGACUGUGUGGGAUGAAUUUCCUCACCCUGGAAUAAGAGGCCGUGAUGGAUGCAGGCGGGUUCAGAGCUCAGUAGAGGCUUCCUUGUGCAUGGGUGGCCCUGGGACCUGCAGCACGAUGGGGAUGGGGUGUUAGUUGGAUUCAGUUGUCUUUGAGGUCUUUUCCAACCUUUGUAAUUCUGCAAUCCUAUUCCUACAUCACCUAGAGAGAAGAGGAGCCCUUGGGUAACAUGUGCAUGUCCUGGGGACAAAAGUGUGCCUAUAGCUGAGAGUUCUGAUCGAGCCACAUGAGGUUUCUGUGCUUCUCCAGGCUGGGAGUCAGUACAACAUCUCAGCAAAGCAGUGGCAUCCGUGGAGAGACAGGAAAACAAAGUGAUGAUCUGCUUCCUAAUUGCCUGCCUGCAGAUCCUACCUCCCCGCCCACACCCUCCUGCAAUCUGGUGAUUAACUUAAUUACAGCUGCAGCUCCUGGAGCUGGCCCAGCCGGGGAGGAGGAGCGGUGCCAGGAGGGUCUCGCUCCCUGCAGCCUGCCUGGGCUGGGACCAGGAGCACGGACGUGGCUGUGAGCAGUGCUGGCUGGAGAUGCAGAUCCCAUUGUUUCAUGUGUGGGAUUUGAUUGUUAAUCCCAGUGCACACCAGAUGCGUGGGACCUGUUGUGUGGAAAGAAUACUUUGGACAGAGAAGCACGAGGGCUCAGUUUCUCCAGCAAAGGGCAAUGGGAGAGAAGUUUUGCACACAGAGCAUCGAAGGAGGCAAGUAUAAAGGAUAACGGAGUGCUCUACUGUGUGGAGGGGCAGUGCUGAGGGGGGAAGGGACUCCUCUUCUGGCAGGUCCCUGUAGCUGAGCUACAGUGCUCAAUGUUCUAAAGCAGCUCUCACUUGCAGUGGUUUUUAAGAAGCCCCUGGAGCUGACAGCUGGGUUGCAUGCCCCUGUUCCUGCUGUGGGUCUGGGUGUGCUCUGCUUCCUAGAGAAAGCAGCAGAGGUCUGCAGGGCUGCUGCGGAGCAGGACGGGUGGUACAGGAUGGAGGACAGCUGUGGUCCUGGAGUGCUGGAGGUGAGGCUGGGUGAUGCUGCCCAGCUCACAAAUGUCACUGCUCCUCCUGCCACCCACUGCUGCUGUCCCUAUGAAAUGUCAGACCGCAGCGCUGGGAGUGCUGAGGUUGUCUGGGCUCAGGUGUGGCUGCCCCAUGGCUGCUGGCUCCCACCCCACACACCCACAGACAGGCGGGCAGACAGCAGUGCCAGCCCUGGGCAGGCUGCUCAUGGCUUCCUUCUGCUGCUCUGCUUAUGCUGCUUUCCUCUAGCCAUCUUGCUCUUGCAUCCCAGCUCUACCCAGGAAAGCUGUUUGCCUGACACCAAAUGACAGAUUCUCACCCCCAGAUCUUGCACUAUACUAUGCCCUUGUGCCAAGGGAUGAUGUGGUUCUCCUCUUGUGUGCUGUGGGCUCCACCCCAAGCAAUGCCUCCCUAAUUCCAGGUAAGAGUCUUGUUGAUGCUUCCUCUAUCACCCUGUUGUUGGCUGCCAGCCACACCAAGCUCUCAUCAUCUACACUGAGUCCAGAACAUUGGCAUGCUGCUGCUAAUGAGGCGUGGGGCUUAAGUGAGGAGUGAACAGCAGGAAUUUGCCUACAUUGUCAGAUGGGAUGCUUCCUUCAGCUGCCCUGUGAAGAGCAGCCCAGCUCAGCCCAGGGUUGGCUCUGGCUUCAAAAUGGGGAUUUGAGUUUGGGUUCAGACUUGCACUGUGUCCUUCACCAGAGAAAUGAAGGAUGCCUGGAACUGUAGGUUUCAUCUCCAUGCCAAGUGAAACUCCACAUCCAUACCCGUGGUUAACCAUCAGUAGACACAUCAUCACUUAGAAAUCAAGCCUCAGUCUGUGCUGUUCCAAGGAAAAUCACUUGGUCUCUGGGUUCACCGUAAGCUCAGCAGUGAUUUACUACCAAAAAAAAGCAAGGGGAGUUAAUUAUCUGCACUUCAAACUCAUUGUCUGAUGGCAACAUGGCUUGUCAAGUUCUGAGGAAAUACUGCCGGGAAGAGUUCUGCUGCUUAACAUCUUUAACUGUAGCUAUGGGUGCAUAAGUAAACAGCUUGGGCUGUGUUUUGCCAUGAAUGCUGUUGCUCAGUAACUUAAUAGUGCAACAAUUGCUUGAGAUAAUGAUUGAUAUUACUGGGAAAAUCCUACUAUAAAUAAUAAUUUUCUUAUCUGCAUGACCUGAGAGCUGGAGAAAUGCUGUACUGUGUGAAACCACAGUGCAUGAGAACAUGCAAGGAGAGAUCCAAAGGAAAGAUCCUUCUGCUCUGUUGGAGCAAGGCAAGCUCAGAGCCAAAGCUUUAUAAAUGUGGCUAAGAGGCUCCACAGAAAGAAAUCCAAACAGAAUAAUUAAAGGGGGAUAAUGAACCACUGCAUUUAGCUGGUGAGUAGGCACCUCUAUGUAUUUCCUGCUGUUGUAGAGGAAGACAUAGGCAUGAUGGGGAUGGGUCAGUGGUUGGACUCGCAUAGUCUCAGAGGUCUUUUCCAACCUGAAUGAUUCUAUGGUGGGCUGCUCUGACAUGCAGACUUUAGGCAAAAUUCUGGGGGCUCUCAGUUCAGAACAGCUCACUGGGUCCCCAGGUGUUCAUGUGCCACCCUCACUUCCAGUCAGAGAAGCACAGCUGACACAUGGGACGUUAGCCCUUGGCAGAAGCCCCAGACAGCAGCACAUGAAGCACCUGUGAAUGGAAGAGCUGAGCAUCAAUCUGACCCCAUGAGAUGUAUGUAGGGCUGGUGAUGACGGCACCUCCAGGGAAAACAGCCCUGCCCCAGUGCUGCUGCUCUCCCUGGCCCAGAGUGGAGACAGCUGGUAGUUUUCAACAGCCCGUCUGCCCUGUCUGAUCCCUGCAAACACCAGCAGCCACCAACAACACAGCACAGGAGAGACAGCUGUAAUUAUAAACAUCUGAUGGAACCAAGCGCUUUGUGGAGCACUGCCACCAGGUGCCACCCACAUGGGCUAUUUGCAGCCUGGCAUGGCUGGAAGGUGCAGAGACAUCUGUAGGUGGUGGCCUGGCCCUGGGACACCUGCAUGGGGUGAGAGGGGGCACCAUGGGGAGAUGACCCAGUAUAGCUGCACUGGUGACAGAAGGUGGGGACAUCCCAGAUCCUUAAACACACUGAACUGAGCCAAAAAAAAAACCAAAACACCCAAAAAACCAAACCCCAAAAGCAACAUUAAUCCUCCAGAAUUUUAAAAACCAUUUGUCUGUGGCCUUCCCCUUUGAAACCUGCCUGGCCUGGGACACAAGCAUCACCAUAUCCACAAAGCUUUUGGCACAGGCAAGGGCUCAUCCAAGCAAUGUCAGCCCCAAACUGCCCAAUGCUGCCUGCCCUGUGCCCACAUGCAGCCCAACAGCUGUAGUUCCCCAGCAUGAAAGCCACCACCUACAGCGCUGACCCCACAGUGCCCCUCUGCACUCCCCCCAAGCCCCAUUCAGAACUUAAAUAUAAAGGGAGAUGGACGUCCCCAUGGAGAACAUACCCAUCUGAGUGCUCCUAUCUGCAAUGCACACUGCUAUGAACAAACAGCAGCGCAGAGCUCACCCAAUGCAGUGCAGGCUGUGAGUUGUGGUGGUGAAGAUCUCCCCCUCCUGUUCACCCAGAGCGUGGAGCUGGGAGCGAGGAGGGAAAUGCUGGGCUCGGGGCUGUUGCCCUGUGCUCACCCCAACCUCAGGUGGCUGAGCCUGGGGGUGCUGCGGGGAUGGGGUCAGUGCUGGAGCACCGCACACCUGGUGUGGAAAUAGAAGAAGGGCACUGCAGGGACUCACCCAGAAGUGGGACCGUCAGCCUGCUAACGCCAGAGGCGUGGGAAGAAAAGUCCCAAGGUUAAGGCUGACGCCCAGAUUUCUCCUCUCGGAGCAGGACUCUAAAUUAAGAAGUAGGAACAAAUGUUCUGAGCACAAGAACGCUGUGAGUCACGCACAGCCCAGUGUCUAGACUGCUGUGGGCAAAGAGCAAACCUUACUGAGGACAACACCACACCAGAAUGAGUCUGAGGAGACCAAAGGGUUGGGGAUGUCACUCUGCAGGCCGGUGGGCAACCCCACUCCUGCAGCAGGCCUGGAGGGCAAAGCACAGUGCUGUCCUGUUACAGGGACCACAGCCAGAAAAUGGCCAUUUUAUGGUUGGUUUAACCUGCAGCCACCUGCGAGCAGCACCUCCCCACCCUGGGGAAGGGCUGAGCUAAUGGGAAGGUGAGGAACAUCCUGGGAGGAGCAGUUCAAAGUGCUUCUGUGGCUUCUCCUGCCUGUGUUCUGCAACAGAGCUGUGUGGAUGGGAAGGGCUUUCUGCUGUCUUGCUCUCUUCCUCUGUGUGAUGGGUUUCCUUUCAUGCCUCUCAGUUUUCCUGCUUUCUUCCAUGACUGUGUGUCACCGUGUGUCUGUAACAGGCAUCUUUCCUCUGUUCUCUCACUUUAUCUGUGCCCCUGCUGGCACUGCUCUGCUAGCUGCAGUUUCUCAGGGUGAUUUCAUUCCUCUUUAGGUGCCUCUGUGUCAUCCUGGGGUGGGCUCAGGCCUGAACAGUUUGGGAAAGAAGAAACGGAAUGGAGAGGGGCUGUGCUGAAUGCCCAGGCCUGAAAAUCCAGACAGUUAUCUGCCUUUUUUGAGAAGCUGUGGAAACAAAUCAUUCUGCUAUAUGAGCUGUAGGAAAGAGAAGGGCCUGGUGCUAACUGUACAUCCAGAGCUCUCUGCAUGCUGCAGGCAGUGCCCACAGCCUGCAGCCAUCCCGCUGUCCUGCACCGGGGCACUGCUGUGCAGGGUGGCAGGAUCUGCUGCUGUGUGCCCCCACAGCAUUAGCAGAGGGGACACUGAUGUUGGAUGUAAGGUAAAUAGUACUGACUGCUCUUACUGAGUCAGGCUGCUCUCUUUUUUAACAAGUGGAGAGGAAGGGAGGAUUAUUGCAUUCACUCAGGCCGUGCUGCAUACUGGGACAGAGAUAAUGUGACAAAGCAGCAGUGCCUCUCUCUCUUGCUGAACUGGUUUUCAGCGAAUUCUUCUGCAAACAGAUUUCUAUUGUGAGUGGCUUAAAGAGCAGAGCCAGCCAGGCCUCCAGCACAGGCGAUAAUCAGCAACGACCAGUUGCACAAAAUGAAUGUGGGAUUCUAAUGAAUGAUGAAUGUGGGGAUCUAAAGCUGCCCCAGCCAUGAGCAUUAGCAGCCCUUGUGCUGUGCCAGAGGGCAGUGCCGGCUGUGCCCGUCCUCUCUGCACUCAGUUCUUUGGGGCUGCAGGCUGGUGGUGGUCUGACCAAUGGCUAAGGACCGUCUUUUGGGUUAAUCUCUGGCUAAAGACCAUCUUUCUCCACUGUUCUUUGCAACCUCUUAUUUCUGAGCCCUCAUUCAGAGAGGUGUCUGUUCAUCUCAUCUAAACCCCUGCCAUUUUGAGGGUCAUGAAAUUAUUAACAUGGGGUUGUUUAAUGCAGGAGGCAAAUUUUCUUGCAUUAUUGCAGUGGUGCUCCUGGGGUUGCAGAGAGGAAGGAGCAGCUCCUGCAGCAGGUGGCACUGGAGUGAGGCAGAGAUGCACCAUGGCAGCUUUGCAGUGGUGCUGGUGGCAUCUGCUGCCACUGCAGUGGGAGGUGGCACCGGGCACAUAGGAAGGGCCUGAGGAGCUCAUGGCCCAGGAUGCAUGGGCAGCAGGAGCUGGGACUGAUGUCAGCACCUACCAACAGUUAUCUCCCCAAGGCAGUAAAAGUUAGUGAUGACCUCCUCAUUGAAAAGCUGCAAUUUUCUCUAAUGAAUCCCCUAAAGUGAAGCUUAUUUCCUGCAGAAAUGUGCCUGUUUGUGGUUCUGGAUUGCAGUGUCUCUUGAAAAUCCUUUUUCCUGCCUCCUCCUGUCAUGCAGCUAUGGACUUCUUGAGAAAUGGAUGGAAGCAUUUUACCAUUUGAUUACCCAACCGUGGCACUAAGAGCAUCACACAGCCCUGGAAAUGGAGCUGAAAGGGGACUGCUUCCUGCAGGAAGCCAGAACGCUGCUUCUGCCACGAGCUCUGGAACUUUCCCUGUGAUGGGUGCACACAGUCCAUGCAUGGGAGUGGAGAUGUGCACUGGCAGCACUGCUGGGGCUGCACAGAGAAAUGACUGCUCCAGGUGAGCCAUGCUCUGUGUCACAGCUCUUCCAUGAGGAAAAUCCCCAUCUUUCUUACUAAGGGAAGAAAAGGGUCUUUCUAAUGGCUAAGCUCUUUCAUUUAUUAUUAUUAGUAUUAUUUUUAUGUUCUGACUUGGCAUCAGAAGAGAAAGCAAAUAUUUAGCAGGAUCAGAUUUGAUCUGCUCUAUGAAUGCAUCCUCAGAAGUACACUGAAACAAGAGGAGAGUGACUGAGAUGAACCUGCGGGGGCUGCUAUCCCUACAGCUGGCACUGUGAACUGUAACUGCUGCCCACACCAGACCAAAGAAGCCCAAUACAAAGAAAAUACACCCCCAGCUCUGAUUGCCCUGCCUGGGUGCAUCGGGUGCUGUGUAGCUCCUUCAUGCUCCCCCUGCCUUGCUGCUCCCAGCUAUGUUUGUGAGCAUUUUAGCUGGCUCAUGCCAGUUGGCACAGAGGAAAAUUCACACAAAGCAAGCACAGGAAGAGCAACAGCACUGCUGUAGUGGGGGGUGCAGCCCCAGGGCUGGGGAGGCAGUGGCAGCAGCAGAGCCGCAUUGCUGCUGGGGAAACAGCAUAGAAGGUGCCGCUGUGGCCAGCUGCGUGAUGAGCUGCUGGGAUGGGGGGAAGAUCGAGGUCUUGGGAGUGGGAGGGAGGCCAGAGUCAUUCGGAGAACUUGGGAGGGGGAGGCUCUCCCUUGGGUAGGGUGGAGCUGGAAGGGGAGGUUAUCCAAAGGGCUGGGGCUGGCUGAGGCCUCCCUGGACCCGAACUGCGGUCAGCCCCAACCCAAGUCAGUUCUGCACACCGAGCAGUGGAUGGAGGGAGCUGUGCUGACCCUGCUUCACACAGAGAACACUCAGGCACUGUCCUGCUUAUCACUGCCAAGCGCAACAACUGGGAACCAGCUGAAGUCUAGACUCAUGUUUGUGUGUGCAGAGCUUCUCUGCAGCUCAGGUGUUGCUGCUGGGUCAUGAGGGGCCUGAGUCCCACUGACACUCAUCACCGUGUCACCAACAGCAUGUGGGGCAAUGGGACCUGGGGCUCUGCCCAGGACAUUUCUAUUGAGGAAAUUAUUAUUAAUAAUUAUUAAUAAUUAAUAAUAAUCAUCUUCCAGCAGCACACUGCUGAAACAGGUUUCCUAUUUCGGAUUAUCCUAAUUUAGGUUUUGCAAAAUAAAACAUGUAAAAAAAAUUGGAUUCAAAUUCAGAUACAAAUUUCGAGCCACAGCUUUUAGAACUGCAAUGAGAUUCACGUUGUUUUGAACCCCUCCAUUCUCCCAGUGGCAGCAGCCCAAUGACACCCGCAAGGUUUGGGGGGGUUUGGCCCCUAAUGUCUCUGCAGAAGAAAUCUGCCUCCUUCCCCCCCUCCUGGCCCAUGUGUGCCCCUCGUGGAGCCCCCUCAGGCCCUGCUCCAGUCCCCACAUCCCACGGGGGAGUGAGCAUCAGGUGGAGAACCCCAGGUAGGAGCAUAGAGACAGCACGUGAGCACCCGGGCCCCUCCCGGCCCCUCCGUACCGCGCCCGUGGCCUGGGGGGAUGCUCCUGGGUGCUGCCCGGUGAGAUGGUGAAGGGAGGAGGACGAGGAUGUAGACGGGAUGUAGAUGGGAUGGGGAUGGGAUGCUCCCUGCCCGCCACCCCGCCCGCAGCCCGACACAGACACAUCCCCUCCCGGGUCCGCACGCUGCAUCCCGGGUGAACGUACCGCCCGCAGGGUCCCGCGGUGGAGCUGCCGCCGCCGGGCUGAGCCUUUGACUGGUGUCGGAACGAAGGGGAGACAGGGAAAAAAUAGUGGGGGGGGGGG